UUUCCGUAGGUGAACCUGCGGAAGGAUCAUUAUCGUAUAAUCGAGGUACGAGGGCUGACGCUGACCCGCAAGGUUGUGUACGCCCGAUUGCCCUCUCACACACCCAUCGCACCCCGAUGAGCACCACUGCGGCGGUCGCCCUAUGCCUUGUUCGGAGGGCGGUUUACGUUUUCACACAAACUUUUUAUGCAGUGUAGAUGGAAUUUUUUGUUUUUGUGAUCACGCAAACAAAACAACUUUAAACAACGGAUAUCUUGGCCUUCCCAGCGACGAAGAACA
rnacentral:misc_RNA from 1 species